CUUCAGAUGGACCUCAAACCGAUGGAAUAGGAAAGGUAACUCAAAUAUAUAUCUUGUGUCAAAAUAUGAGCUCAAUCCCAGCGUGGGAAGGUCUCCGUCCAUCGCCAAAUUUUGGACACGUCUUUACAGUUCUGCAACUCAAAUAAUUCUGAAAUCAACAAAGUUCCUCAAACGUAUGUGAACCUGAAAUGACUCUAAAAUAGACUCCAAACAUAUAUAAUAGACUAUAUAUAUUAUAUAAAUUCUGAAUCUGUGACUUAAUCGAAUUAUUGUUUAUGCAUAUCAAAAAUACUUUAAAUUAAAUAUAAAAAGGCUAUUUUUAUUUAAUAAAUUUAAAAACAAGUGGUUGUGAUUUUUUGUUUUUGUCAAACUAGAUCCGUUUAUAUUGGAAUUUGAAAAGAUGUAUAGCUUAAAUUAGACUUGUUUCAAUUUGUGAUUCAUCUAUAAAUGUACUUCUAUGUCGUUCUAAUUUUUAAAACACCAUUAUUUCAUUAUCAAAAAUGAAAGUUGCUUUCAAACCUUGGUUUAUUGGUUUCGUUAUGCUCGCAAUUCUUCUGUUUGGAGAAAGGGCUAUUGCUCGGACAGGAGAAAAUAGGUGGUGUUUCACAACUUUAACACCUAUACCAUCAUCAAAAAAUCCCAACCCUCCAAGAUGUACUCCCGAUAGCUGUGAAGCCUUAUGUCUCAAAAAGAAAAAAGCACUGAUAAGUAAAUGCCUUAGAAUAAAUUACGGAUGCAUGUGUCGGAUUGACUGCGCUAACUGAUUUUUUAUAUACAUUAAAACUCGAAUAAUAUUUAUAAUAAUACUAUGUAUUUGUCAUAAAUAAAUAUAAAUAACAAAUAUUGAUACAUGUAUCUUCAUCUC